AAGAACGCUGGCGGCGUGCCUAACACAUGCAAGUCGAGCGCGAAUGGAGCAAUCCUAGUAGAGCGGCGCACGGGUGCGUAACACGUGGGUAAUCUGCCUGGAAGAUCGGGAUAACCUGCCGAAAGGCUGGCUAAUACCGGAUAAGCCUACGAGAUCUUUGGAUCUUGAAGGAAAAGGUGGCCUCUGUACACAAGCCAUCACUUCCAGAUGAGCCCGCGGCCCAUCAGCUAGUUGGCGGGGUAACAGCCCACCAAGGCGACGACGGGUAGCUGGUCUGAGAGGACGAUCAGCCACACUGGAACUGAGACACGGUCCAGACUCCUACGGGAGGCAGCAGUGGGGAAUUUUGCGCAAUGGGCGAAAGCCUGACGCAGCAACGCCGCGUGUGUGAUGAAGGUCUUCGGAUUGUAAAGCACUUUCGACCGGGACGAAACACUGUUGGCUAAUAUCCAGCAGCUUGACGGUACCGGGAGAAGAAGCACCGGCUAACUCUGUGCCAGCAGCCGCGGUAAUACAGAGGGUGCAAGCGUUGUUCGGAAUUAUUGGGCGUA
rnacentral:rRNA from 1 species